AUACAAACUAAUAUACACAACAUUCCAAAUCAUAUAUAAAUAGUCUCUCACCUAACUACAAUUUAGAUAUGGAGAAGUCCUCGACCAAGUUGGCUUGCAUGUUAUUGAUGUUCUUUAUUGUCUCUGGAACAUUGUUCGUCUCAGAAGCAAGAAAUGUAGUAAACGUUCCAUGCAAUACUGAGCAAGAUUGUUCGGAUCCAGUCAAAUGUAUUUGCAACUUCCAUCUAUGUUUUUGCAAGGGAGAAUCUACAAAGACAGUCUUGGACAAAAUCCUUCCAAAAUCUUUGAGAGAACAGAAAACAACUCCUUGAAGACUCAUUCCUACUUCAGUUUGUACUAACACGCACACACACAUAUAUAGUUCAUGAGAUUUGGAAAAGAAAUGUAUUUUCCUAUAUUAUAUAAAAUAACAUGUGAGUUAUAAUUUUCCUUUUCUCUACAGGAACUUCUCUAUGUUUGAAAUUUUAUGUUGUUUGAUACACUGCCACUGAUAUAAUAUACAUACCUUCGCAAAAGGUGGUGUGUGUUAUCAUUAAUGAAGAUCUUUUAUCAGCUUAAGAAA